rnacentral:lncRNA from 1 species
GUAAUAUUUGGAUCCACUUAUCAAAACACAGUCGUUUUGGGCAGCAAAUGGAAUGUUUUGAUUGGCUGGAGGGGGGCACACGAAAAUGGGGGCAAUUCUGGGCAGAUUGGGAUUAGGGUUCUUAUCAAAAAAAACGUGAUUUCUCAAUUCUUCCCAAAAGUGUCAAUUAAGCAUACCAUUGUAAACAUCAAACACCAUACAACAACAAUCCAAACCCUAAUUUCAUCAAUUUGAACUAUACAACAAGAAAUCACAAGAAACAUUUUCAAACAUCAAACUUUAUAAAGUGUCAAUUAAGCAUACCAUUGUAAACAUCAAACACCAUACAACAACAAUCCAAACCCUAAUUUCAUCAAUUUGAACUAUACAACAAGAAAUCACAAGAAACAUUUUCAAACAUCAAACUUUAUCCCAUCAUAACUUCAUGAACAAGCAACUAUUCCAAAAAAUGAAAGCAUCAUGGUACUCAGCAAUAAAGGAUCUUUCCAAAGUGUAUGUCAAUUUUAAGAAUGGG